UUCAAUCUCUGCAGCUCUCCCUCCUCUGCACGAGCCCUUCGCAGCCACGGCCCGAGGGAGUGCGGCCGGCUGGGCUGUGCCCGGCUGGGGACGGGCACCAAUUCAUCACUGCCCUGCUCAGGGAGGUUUUCCGGCCCCGUCCGGGAUUCACCCAACGGCUGCAAAGGUGCUCGUGCGACGUCCGAGCUCAUUUCCAGGGAUAAAGGAGCCAACCGAGCCCGGGGGGAUCCUUCGUUCCGAGGCAAAGGCGUCGGUCGAGUGUCGCCGCCUGGUCCCGCCUGCGGGGGGGUGUCUCCUCCAGUUUCCCAGGGAGAAGAACAGGAACUCACAGCCACCAAGGCCUGACAGUCCCCUGCAGCCAGAGCUCAGCACACACCCAGA